CCGAGUUUACAACUCCCAAACCCCUGUGAACCUUACCAAUCGUUGCCUCGGCGGACGCCUGCGGCCGCCAGAGGACCCAAACUCUCUGUCUUAUUUUCGCGCAUCUUCUGAGUAACACAAGCAAAAUAAAAUCA
rnacentral:misc_RNA from 1 species